rnacentral:rRNA from 1 species
UGGGCGUAAAGAGCUCGUAGGUGGUUUGUCGCGUUGUUCGUGAAAACUCACAACUCAAUUGUGGGCGUGCGGGCGAUACGGGCAGACUUGAGUACUGCAGGGGAGACUGGAAUUCCUGGUGUAGCGGUGGAAUGCGCAGAUAUCAGGAGGAACACCGGUGGCGAAGGCGGGUCUCUGGGCAGUAACUGACGCUGAGGAGCGAAAGCGUGGGGAGCGAACAGGAUUAGAUACCCUGGUAGUCCACGCCGUAAACGGUGGGUACUAGGUGUGGGUUUCCUUCCUUGGGAUCCGUGCCGUAGCUAACGCAUUAAGUACCCCGCCUGGGGAGUACGGCCGCAAGGCUAAAACUCAAAGAAAUUGACGGGGGCCCGCACAAGCGGCGGAGCAUGUGGAUUAAUUCGAUGCAACGCGAAGAACCUUACCUGGGUUUGACAUGCACAGGACGUGCCUAGAGAUAGGUAUUCCCUUGUGGCCUGUGUGCAGGUGGUGCAUGGCUGUCGUCAGCUCGUGUCGUGAGAUGUUGGGUUAAGUCCCGCAACGAGCGCAACCCUCGUCCUAUGUUGCCAGCGGGUUAUGCCGGGGACUCGUAGGAGACUGCCGGGGUCAACUCGGAGGAAGGUGGGGAUGACGUCAAGUCAUCAUGCCCCUUAUGUCCAGGGCUUCACACAUGCUACAAUGGCCGGUACAAAGGGCUGCGAUGCCGUAAGGUGGAGCGAAUCCUUUCAAAGCCGGUCUCAGUUCGGAUUGGGGUCUGCAACUCGACCCCAUGAAGUCGGAGUCGCUAGUAAUCGCAGAUCAGCAACGCUGCGGUGAAUACGUUCCCGGGCCUUGUACACACCGCCCGUCACGUCAUGAAAGUCGGUAACAC